UAUUGUAAGAAAUUGUAUUAGAUAUUGGUAACUUGUUCUAACAACUUCUCAACAUUACCUAUAAGUUGACACAACAUACACACCCCCUCUUUCUCUUGGACAUAUGCUGGACACAUAGGACAUAUACACGGCACCCACAAUUCCCCUCCCCCAUGACAAUCACACAGACACACCCAACCCAUGGUUGGACCUCAGGACAAAGAACUCUCAGGAACCAAUGGAACGUGGACACCAGGCCUGAUCAGGACUACCCAAGACCCAGACCGACCAAUCGGAAGGCCAGACUCGCAGAUCAACCUACUUUGCUUGUUGUCUAUAUAUAAAACUGUAUGACUGUGGAAACUCCCUCUUUUUUCCAAAUGACCCCAUACGGAUCGGAUAGAAAAGAGCCGUGCUGCACGCUUUGCAUAAUAUUUUUACACUUGAAUAAACCUGCCUUAUUAUAAAAUGAUCCACCUCGUCCUAUGUCUCCACUUGGUCUCCUGUCUCAAGUAAAAGAAUUAUCAUCAACAUGGUAGCAGAGGAUGGUUAAAACAUAUUUGAAUUAGGCCCAAUAGAAAAUUCAUCGGACAGGAGACGAGAGGGAGAAAGAUUCAAGAAGGAGAGGUGACCCGCUCGAGGGAGACGUCGGCGAUUCAACUCACCCAGGAAACUGAUCAAAGAGCUCGAAAAUAUUAAGGUAAGCAGAGCCGGUUUAAUCAAAAUCUGCAUAUUGUAUUAUAGCCAAUAUCUAAAUUCAAUGAUCAGAAGUACUGAGGUGAGUGAAUUGUUGCUAAAUUUAUGUGGAAUUGUUUAGAAUCUAAGGCAAUGUGUAAAGAUAUUUGCGAAGUAUAAAAUCAAGUCGCAUUAGUAAUCUGGGACUAGUUGAAACAUUUUUCAACUAGGAGCAUCAGUGAUAAACCUAAGCUUGAAAUAGGAGUAAUGGUAUUAAACUUGAAACUCAAAUGUAUUUGAAAUGUAAUGUGAUCUGUUCAAGUCGUAUUAGUAAUCUGGGACUAGUUGAAACAUUUUUCAACUAGGAGCAUCAGUGAUAAACCUAAGCUUGAAAUAGGAGUAAUGGUAUUAAACUUGAAACUCAAAUGUAUCUGUUCAAGUCGUAUUAGUAAUCUGGGACUAGUGGAAAUGGCAUCCCUCUAGGAGCAUCAGUGAGAAAUCUAAGCUUGGCGUAUUGGGAUUCAAGUCGCAUUAGUAAUCUGGGACUAGUUGAAACAUUUUUCAACUAGGAGCACCAGUGAUAAAUCUAAGCUUGAAAUAGGAGCAAGGGUAUUAAACCUGAAACUCUCCAAAUUAAUGCUGUUCAAGUCGCAUUAGUAAUCUGGGACUAGUUGAAACAUUUUUCAACUAGGAGCACCAGUGAUAAAUCUAAGCUUGAAAUAGGAGCAAGGGUAUUAAACCUGAAACUCUCCAAAUUAAUGUGUGUGAUUGAGCGUUCCACGAGAUCUAUUGCUACUAAUUAGCUAUAAGCUAAGUUCAGGCUCCGUUAGUGGUGACCGCCGAGUCAGAAUCUGUGUGCCACGGUGAAGCAGCCAUUUACGGUUGAUGAGUUGACCUGGUUUUCCCCUCAUAUACUGUUGGUAAAUCCUUAAGGGAUAGAAUUCAUUUGAAAAUUAUUAUAGAAGCGCGUGAAUUACUAGUAUAUUGUCCCCAAAGGAAAAUUUCUGAAAUGUUUUGGCAAAGUAUUUAAUUAAUCGGAAAAAGUUUAAAUUAACCGGGAAAGUUAAAAGAAAUAAUAUCUCUCGAGUUAAAGGUCUUAUAAUUGCCAUUCCAAUUAUAUCAGGAGCGCCUGAAUUCAUUAGUAUAUUGUCCCCAAAGGAAACUUCUGAAAUAUUUUGCCAAAGUAUUUAAUUAAUUAAUUUAGCGAAAAGCAAUAAUAUUUUUUAUUAUAAAUACCCAAAACUGUCAUUCCAAUUAUAACAGGAGCGCAUGAAUACAUUCGUAUAUUGUUUCAAAAAGAGAUAGCUGAAAUAUUGUUGGAAAACGAAAAUAAUUCAUCAAAUACACGGCAAUAAAAUCCUUUGUCCACGCGAGUCGGACACGAGACUGGAGGAAGAGAGGGGAAGAAAAAUACAUCGCUGGUUUCGAUCAGUAACGGGCUAAAGUAUACAAAGAUAAUAAUAGACCCAGACAUAGCUUAACGACAAAAUGACCACGACUAUCGUCCCCAAACACAAAUUCAACGAAUAUUUAGAUCAGAGAAUGAAAGACAGAGCAGGCGGUAAAUUACACUACAAACCCGUUAAAAAGAUCUGGGAGGAAGUGAGGCUGAGAUGGACUCAAACAGGUUUCCUUAGUGGAGUCGCCCCAUCAAAAGGGCAACUCCUCAUUAUGGAGAAAGAAUUGGAGGAAGCAGUGAAGCAAGGGAUAGAAUGUGAAGUUGAUAAGAAUAAGAGUCAUUUUUUUUAAAAAAGAAGGGACAAAGCAAAGGGAAAAGGCACAGGCUGAGAUGAGAAUAGGUUUAUGGGCAAUUGAGGAAAUUAGGAAAGCUCUCCCUUACCGGAAACCUGAUACGAUGGGAGUGGUCACUGGAGCACCAACUGACACCAAAGAGGGCAGGCCCAACAAUAAUGACGCCCCACCUACCACCACAGCAGCCCCAUCGGCCCCAACCCAUCUCAGGGGCACUGUGGGGUUAAUGGCAAUUCCCCAGGCUCAGUUCAACUCCCAUGUGCAUCACCACAUUACCCAAUACAAUAAGGAUAAGGGAGGGGCUGAAACACAAAUCCAGUCCCUACAGGUACAACUUUUGAAACUACAAUUGAAAGAGGCCCAGAAAGGAGAGAAACCCAAGAAACAGAUGGUGGCUGAAGACCAACAAGAAAUCUCACAAAUCAUUGAAAAAACUGUUUCCCGAAUGAUACAGCAACAACAACUACCCAUCUUCACCCAGCAGGGACCACCUAUACACCCACCCCAGGAGCAGCCAUUCCAACUGCCGUAUGCCUACCCGUUUCAGCCAUACCCUUCGUCGGAACCACCACUACAACCCUACUACCCACUACCACAAUCAAACUAUUCACCCACAUGGGGACAGCCCCAGAGGUACUCUGGAUCUUAUGGAAGCUGUUAUAAUUGUAAACAAGCUGGGCAUAUGGUGCGACAGUGUCCGCACCCAAUAACCCCGGCCCAAAGCCAGUUUCUGGCCAAAAGGGGACGAGGAUACGCCCCUAGACCAAGGGGGAGUCAGGCCAAGGAUGUAUCAACCACGUGCGGCCCUUCAACCCGCAUACAAUCACCCCAAUCCAGACCCGAAUUAGCAAUCACCUCCCCCUUUUCAGGGCAUGGCUGACGAAUAUGCCCCAUGGCCCUGAAGCUGCUCACCACUAACCUACACUCAUCAUUGACCUGGACUACUGAAGCAUCAAAGGCUUUUGCACUCUUGAAAACAGAUCUCUAAGUGGCAGUAGCCCUAACAGCACCUGACUAAAAAAAACAAGUUCCAUCUGGAUGUUUCUGAAAAAGAAGGAUUUACAUCAUCCAUCCUUUUCCAGAACCUAGAGGGGGAGAGAAGAGUGUUGAGGUAUCACCCCUCCAAACUGGACUACAUUGAAGAAGGACAAACCACAUGCUCCAGGUAUGUGGAUGCAGUGGCAAAAGCUAUUGGGAAAACAGCCCACAUGAUAAUGUGCCAUCCAUUGGAAAUCCACACCCACCAUGGGGUUGCAGCAUAUCUGAUGAGCAAAGAAUUCACGUUCAGCGCUGAAAGGAAAACGAAAAUCCAGAAUAAAUGCACACAAUCACACAUCACAUUUGUCAACACUGACAAAAACAUGGCAGACGCACUCAAUGCUGAAGGUCUACCCCACUCCUGUGCAGAAAGAGCUGCACAGGAACUGAAACGGAGACCUGACCUGGGGAAUGAACCACUCACCAACACACACAGAUAUGGGGAAAGACAAUGUGACUAAUGGAAAAAGGUACCUGUUAGUUAUGGUAGACAGGUUCUUUAAAUGGGUUGAGGCAAUACCAACAGCAGGGGAGGAUGCAAAAUAGGUCAUUAAGUGGCUGCAAACCGAACUCAUGUGUGUUGUUUGAUGACAAACGCUCCAUGUACCAAUAGGGUCGGAUGUGUAAAUGUCAACUGAUUGUUGUUUAAUGAUGGGGUUAGUGUACAGGCCACAAUCUCAUAAGUCUCGUGGAACGCGCCAAUCAAAUGUAUGUGCAGGUUUGAAGUUGAUUUGGGUUAAAGUCCUGCCCCUGGCGUUGCUGGCCAUGAUAGCCUCUCCAGGUGCAGGCACCCAUCUCUCUCCUCAUGAGACAAUGGCUGGAGGAGUCAUGCUGGGUUCACCAAGGAAGGGAGGUCAUAUGCCCGCCCUUGAUGUACAACAAAUUGUAAUGUUUGAUAAUUGACGGAACUUUCUGCAGCUCUCUCCACACAGAUUCACAAAGUCCAACGGGGAAGCAGAAGGGAGAUCUGGCACACGGAAGGUAAAAAAUUGGUGACUGGGUGGGGUUAAUGUCCACAAGAGAAAGUGGCUAGAACCCAGGUGGACUGGACUGUACGAAGUGGGGGAGGUUACUUCACACUCAGUCCAGGUCAAAGGUAAAUCAGGCGCACCUUGGCACCACUUCACACAUUGCACUCCAGCCCCAAUCCCUUCUAGAACACUGACAGAAGUCAGAGCUGAUUUAAACAGCUUAAAUUCGAUUCCAAAUGAAGACAUUUCUGACUCAGGUGAUGCGGAAUCAAACUCCGCCUCCCCUGAUAAAAAAACCUCGCCCAGUUGGAGGGAUAUUUCUCCCUCCCUGGGCAAGGCUAGGGAUAUCUGGCCCCUUAUUUGUGAUAUUCCUACUGAUAUUUGGGCUGUCCCUGGGCACUUUCACAUGGUUAAUAGAAUAACUAUAACCGGAUCCCCAUGGAUGUAUGUCACGGACACUCUAGUCUAACUAGGUAAUAAUAGAUUAAAAAAUUAAAAUAAAAAAAAAAAUAAAAAAUUUAGAAAACAAUAGUUAAAAUAAGAAACUAAUAUGGCUCAAAUUGAGAAGGUUGAAUGAGAGUGGGUGAAGAGCUAUGCAGAGAAUGGACAGAAGAUGGCAGUAUUGCAGCACCCAAAUGGUCUCCCAGCCGACUGGUUGAAUGCUGGUGACAUAAUUUUGUUUUUUUAGAUAUGGAACACGAAUGUAGGUGUAACAUUUUGACCUGUUUUCUGUUUCCAUUGCAUUUUCCGGCGACUUGAUCACUCGCGGGGAAAUGUGGUGAGAAUAAGGAGAUUGUGUCAUUUGGGAUACUAGUUUUGAGGUAAAUUGAUUACAAUAGAGUUUAUAACUCUUGACCAUAAGGUAAGCAUUUGUAUUGGCCAUUAGAAGAUAGAGAUAGGUUAAUUAAGGUUAUGUUAGGACUUUAAAGGUUGACACUAUAAGACCUGUAGUUAUUUUUAAAUCCAUGCAGAUAAAGUCAAAACAGUGAGACACUUAGUUAAUGUUGUAAAGGAACACACAGUUGUUAUUGACUAUUAUUACAAAAAGGCAGACAGAUGGGUCUACCCCGCACUGUUCAGACCUUGAAGGUUUGAGAGCAGAGUGGGGAGGGUGGACCAGGAAAUGAGCAAGGUAGGCUGUGAAAUAAGAUAGGAGAGAAAGGGGUUAACAUAUUUAAGCAGCACAGAUACAUUUCAAAGUAGAUAAGUCACUUGACAGAGAAUUAGAAAAGAAUAGAUAUGAAUGUACGCCGAAGGGAGAAUUGGAUAUGCGGGGAAUAAAAGGGACGUUCCUAGAAUAUGAUGUACUAGGUUAUUAUUUAGAGUAAGUAAGGUUGAUACCUGGCCAGAGCCAGGUAUCAAACGAAGGAGGGUACAUUGUGGACUGGGAAAGGAUGGGGUCCAUUGGAUAAUAAACUUAUUUAAAAUUAAACAUUUAUAGCUAAAAAAUUAGGCAUAGAAAUUAAAUAUAUAAUCAGAAAGAACAAAUGAGGAACUGUUUGUUAACCAAACCUGUAUGUCCAAGAGUUUAUACAUUGCAGGUGAAUCAAGGGAGAAGGUGAAUCACUCGACCUGGGGGCAUAUCGCACUUGGAGGGUGAGACACACUGACACUGCCGAAUGAUCACAGAGUUAAGGAGAAGAACUGUUGCUAAUAAAGCUCAGGGGUCAACUCCUUAAUGAAGAAUUCCCUGACCCCGACCUUUCCUCACUGUGUUCGUUCAUAGAAGUGAAAGUGUUGCUUGAUCUCUGGCUGAUGAUGUGUUCUCUGGGAGAGGGUGGGGUUUUACAGGACUGCUUGUAGUCCUGAGCUGUCUGAUCAGGAUACGAUGGGGAGGUUACCAUCGCAGUGCUGCCAGAACCACCACCAGUUCCAACGGACCAGGGUUCAGCCGGCCUCCUCCACCACUCCAAGACCAAGUCCCACGCCAUCACCUAAGCUCUCCAAUCUGAAGUCCCUCCCCAGAAGGACCGUGGGAAGUUAAGGCAUAUGGGGGACAUAACAGCUGUAACACUGGUACAGGUAGAGGUAUAGACUAUGGAAGGCUCCCUGCUACUACCUGCAUAACUAAUACCACUAUUAACUAGAGGUGUUGCUGAUGUAUGGUGGAUGUGUUGACCUGCCAGGCGGUUGACCCCAUUUUUGAAAGGAAAUUGUCGUUGCUCAUGUGUUUUGGCCAGUCUGCUACCACCAUUGCCUAUUAUUAUAGCUAAUCAACUUCUGGGAGCUACACAGGACACAGAGGCUUGGGACCAAACCAGGAGACGGCAGAAACGUGACGCUCCUUGGUCCGAGGGUACAGAUAACAUGCACACCAACCUGUUGGGGGUCCCAAUAGGGGUCCCCCACGAAUUCCAGACAUUAACCAGGAAUGAUGGCCUGUGGCAUCUGAUGCCCAUCAUUGGCCCAGCUAUUGUUGAUGUUAAAACAAAAGGUCUGGAUCAAUUAUAAACACACCCACACAGGACUUACAGGGAUGGCUGAACAAUUGGAUGCUGCCUCACAAACCAGUAGACACAAUAGACUAACACUGGACAUAAGUCUGGCCAACAAGGGAGGUGUAACAGUGUUUCACGUUUGUUCCUAACAAUACUAGUCCGGAUGGGAGCAUUUCAAAAGCUCUGAGUGGGUUGGCAAGGUUAUCAGUGGAGAUGAAGGGUCUUGCAGGUGUGGAGGAGAGUGGACUGUUCCCCUGGCUGGGUGGUUGUUUUGGUAAGUACACUGCAAGGACGAUUACUGGAUUUCUGACACUAGUUGUGGUUUUUCAUUUCUGUGCUGCCUGUAUCAUACCUUGUUUGAAGAAGUUUGUUACAGAUGUGUAAGGGGCCUCUGGUUGAUGCUCCAGUUGGAGAGGCUGAUACGAAAACGAGCUUCCGCAGGAGAGUGGGCUGACAGAGGAGGACCCUUGGUUUGCUGUAGAUGAUGUUGUUGAAUGAAUAAAAAGUGAUGUUUGUCCUCCCUGUUGUGAAGGUUUGAAGUUCCCGGGUGGCGACGAGCCCACCUGGUACAGGUUGUAUAGAGGGAUGGACCGGAGGGUUUAACAUAUUCUCGUUUUUUGGUUUACUAAUGUGUGGUUGGCCACUCCAGGGGUAGUUAUUGGAGUGGUCUCCUUUUUGGUCCUUGCUCAUUUACGACUCAACUUACAUUGAUGGAAUUGGUGUCCCCAGGGGGGUACCAGAUAAGUAUAAACUGGUUGACCAAGUGGCCGCAGGUUUUGAAUCAUCAUUUUGUUGGUGGUGUACAGUUAAUAAAAUGUGGACAGAAUUAACUACAUUCAUUUUAAUGUCCAGAAACUGGGCAAUUGGACUCAACAAGGCUUCGAGGCGGUCCAUGGACAAUUGGCAGCUACGUCCCUGAUGGCAUUUCAAAAUAGAAUCGCGGUUGAUAUGUUAUUGGCUGAACGGGGGGGGGGUCUGUGCAAUGUUUGGUGAACAGUGUUGUACUUUCAUUCCCAAUAACACAGCUACGGAUGGGAGUCUGACUGUAGCAUUGGAGGGACUUCGUACCCUUAAUGGUAAGAUGAAACAGCAUUCUGGAAUGGACACUACUAUGUGGGACUCAUGGAUGGAUGCUUUUGGUAAAUAUAAGACGCUGGCUUCCUCCGUCCUAGUAUCAAUUUCUGUUUUUGCGGCCAUUCUUGUACUUUGUGGAUGCUGUUGCAUUCCAUGUGCGCGCACGCUUGCUAGCCGUGUUAUAACUGCAGCCAUAGACCCUAAUCAGGAAAGGGCCCAAAUGUCCCCACUGCUUGAGGAUGGGGAAGCUGGACCUGUCUAUCUAUUUGAGGACUAAGAUACUUUUAUGUCACGUCUCUUGUGAGACGUGAAGAGAGGGAAUCAAAAAUUUGUCUUCUGACAAAUUUUAUCCCAUAGCUUUGUCUUUUUAUACUUUUAUGUCACGUCUCUUGUGAGACGUGAAGAGAGGGAAUCAAAAAUUUGUCUUCUGACAAAUUUUAUCCCAUAGCUUUGUCUUUUUAUACUUUUAUGUCACGUCUCUUGUGAGACGUGAAGAGAGGGAAUUAAAAAUUUGUCUUCUGACAAAUUUUAUCCCAUAGCUUUGUCUUUUUAUACUUUUAUGUCACGUCUCUUGUGAGACGUGAAGAGAGGGAAUUAAAAAUUUGUCUUCUGACAAAUUUUAUCCCAUAGCUUUGUCUUUUUAUACUUUUAUGUCACGUCUCUUGUGAGACGUGAAGAGAGGGAAUUAAAAAUUUGUCUUCUGACAAAUUUUAUCCAUUAGUUUUGUCUUUUAUAUACUUUUAUGUCACGUCUCUUGUGAGACGUGAAGAGGGGGAUUUGUAAGAAAUUGUAUUAGAUAUUGGUAACUUGUUCUAACAACUUCUCAACAUUACCUAUAAGUUGACACAACAUACACACCCCCUCUUUCUCUUGGACAUAUGCUGGACACAUAGGACAUAUACACGGCACCCACAAUUCCCCUCCCCCAUGACAAUCACACAGACACACCCAACCCAUGGUUGGACCUCAGGACAAAGAACUCUCAGGAACCAAUGGAACGUGGACACCAGGCCUGAUCAGGACUACCCAAGACCCAGACCGACCAAUCGGAAGGCCAGACUCGCAGAUCAACCUACUUUGCUUGUUGUCUAUAUAUAAAACUGUAUGACUGUGGAAACUCCCUCUUUUUUCCAAAUGACCCCAUACGGAUCGGAUAGAAAAGAGCCGUGCUGCACGCUUUGCAUAAUAUUUUUACACUUGAAUAAACCUGCCUUAUUAUAAAAUGA